rnacentral:miRNA from 1 species
UGUGUGUGUGUGUGUGUGUGUGUGUGUGUGUGUGUGUACGCGUGCAUGCGCGCGUACAUACACACACACGCGUAAA